UCUCUCAAAUCAAACAACUCCAUUUUAAAUUCAUCAUUCUCUCCUUCAAUCAAUAUUGUUGCCAGUGGUUUCAAAAGUAAAUUUAAAUUAUUUUCUUUCAGAUAUGCACUGUUACUACUGACUUCAGAAGCAAAAAAAACCAACACAAACAACCAAGUACAUGUUUGGUUCAUUAGCAAUAAAUUAUCUACUUUAAUAACCGUGAUUUCCUUGAUUAACAGGCGGAGGUAUGAUAGCAGGAGUAGCAAUAGCUGCCAAAGCUAUUAACUCGGCUAUUUGUAUUUUGGUUGCUGAGCAUAAAGGAGCUGAUGAUAUGCAUCGCAAUCUAAGACAACAAGGAGGAUAAUAAAAUUGCCUGAGAUAAAUAUUAUAGCAGACAGGCUUCGAGCAUUUCUCGGAGACCACACAUGGCCUAUUGUACAAGAUCUUGUUGAAGAUAUAAUCACAGUGGAAGACUUUGAAAUCAUCAAAGCAAUGAAACUGUGUUUUAAACUUUUUAAGAUUGUUUUAGAAUCAUGUGGAGCUGCUGGCCUUGUUGUUGUGCUAUCUGAAACUUUUCAGAAAAAUCCUGCAUAAGAGUAGUAGUUUAAGGAGGAAAUGUUGAUAUGGAUGUGAUUUAGGAGUCUUUGAACAGAUGAAAAUGACUCUAUUGCAGAUGAAUAUUAUUAUUAAAUCACUGAUGUAACAUUUUGUGUGAAUUAUCUCAAUAACUAGUUGACUUUUGGAUU
rnacentral:lncRNA from 1 species